ensembl:snRNA U6 U6 spliceosomal RNA
GUGCUCGCCUCAGCAGCACUUAUACUAAAAUUGGAAUGAUACAGAGAUCAGCAUGGUCCCUGAGCAAGGAUGGCAUGCACCUUCUGAAGCGUUCCAUAUUUAA